GGUGGCCUCAGAGGUCUGCAUAACCUCCCUGUUUGUGUUUCUCCGUUCUCUUUUUCUUUCUUCUUUUGGUGUGUGGUAUUUGCACUAAGAUUGGAUUUGUGAGUAAAUAAAUUUCUUGAUUCUUGUUUUUAUUCUUCUCUGAUAUUUUCACCUGGGAGGUGAUCUUGCUCAAUUCUCACUGAAAUCCUCAUGUGGUCUGUAGAAAUGUUGAAAAGCUGAAGAGGAGAAGGAAAAAAUAUGCAAAGGAGAAGGAAAGUCUUGAUGCUGACAAUCAUUUGAGUUACAAGCAUAAAGCUCAGUCAGAUGAGGCUGAAGCUAAAAACACUUUGCAGGAUAUGCUGGUGACCGAUAAAGAAAGUCACAAGGAAACAAAUGAUGAAGUUAAAAACACUCUGCAGGAUAUGCUGGUGACUGAUAAAGGAAAUCAAAAGGACACAAAUGAUGAGUUAGUGCAAUUCUGCAUUACAUGUCACACCAACAUGCAUAUUACACGCCCUCCUCUCCCCCCACAAAUCAAAUACUAGUUUUUGUGGCAUGUGCAUCAUUCAAGUUAUCAUUGAAAACUUGAUAUAGUAUUAAAUUGAAUGUUUGUGAUAUAGGGAAUUGCUUAGUUGUCUACUUCAUUUCUUUAUUUUUCUCAAAGUUAUAUCCAAACAUAAUAAAACAUAGCUAAAGAAUCUGAGAAGUUGAUGGCCUAUUUGAUCUUUUUCUCAGGGUAAAAUAACAAAUAGAUACUGAGGGUAGUUUGUUAAAUCAAAUGUUUCAAUAAAUUUUGUAUUUUUAUAAGAUGUAUAUUUAUCUAUCCCUCUUUGUGCUUGAGUUCUGUGCAAACCUUUAGGAAAGGAAAAGAAAACAUAUUGAAGCUGACAGUCAUUUUGAUUUCCAUGUUGUUAGAGAAGAUAAAGUCCAAGAUGAAGCUAAAGCUGGAAAAACAGGGCAGGAUAUGCUAUUGGUGAAGAAGGAAAAUCAGAAGCAAGCAGAUGAUGAGUCAGUACUAUUGGUUUUAGCCUCUUACUCUAUGUUAUCUGCACAACAAUACAUGCAUAUCCAUCUUCUUCAGCUCAUACUAGUUCAUUACAACUUAAUUAGGAAAAGACCUGUUUAUCUCGUUGCUUUAUUGAUUUUACCUGGUAUACUCUUGUAGUAGGGCUGUCUUGGCAUGGAAUUCCA
rnacentral:lncRNA from 1 species